UACGUAGGGUGCAAGCGUUAAUCGGAAUUACUGGGCGUAAAGCGUGCGCAGGCGGUUUUGUAAGACCGAUGUGAAAUCCCCGGGCUUAACCUGGGAACUGCAUUGGUGACUGCAAGGCUUGAGUGUGUCAGAGGGAGGUGGAAUUCCGCGUGUAGCAGUGAAAUGCGUAGAGAUGUGGAGGAACACCGAUGGCGAAGGCAGCCCCCUGGGCCGACACUGACGCUCAUGCACGAAAGCGUGGGGAGCAAACAGG
rnacentral:rRNA from 1 species